rnacentral:rRNA from 1 species
UUGAAAGGGAAACGAUUGAAGUCAGUCGUACCGACGAGAAAUCAGCUUUUCGAAUGUGCAUUUGUGACGUACGAGAUCUUCAUUGUUUGCAAUAUGUAUAUUUCUUUGGUGUACUUUUUCGUAUGGUAGGUCAACGUCGGUUUUGAUCGCCAUAAGAUGAUCGGAGGAAUGUAGCUUCGGCCUCGGUUGAAGUGUUAUAGCCUUUGGUAAAUGUGGUGAUUAAGACCGAGGAUUGCAACGAAUACCUUUUAGGCUAUCCGUCUGACCUCUGAAAGUUACUUAGGUGUCGAAAGCUUGCUUACGGUCAUUUAAGUUGACGGUCAAUAGGUUAGAACGUGAUUACAUUCGUUAAGGAUGUUGACGUA